rnacentral:misc_RNA from 1 species
GGGAUGCCAAGGUUGGAAUCGAAAUUGGCGAGCACGUCAUCAAGGGUGGAUUCGCCAAAGAGAAGGAAACCAAAGAGGCUUGUGGCUACAUAGAUGGCGGAGCAGAGGGCUAGCGAUGUCCGAACAAUAGGUUUAAUCUGGGAGGAGUCCUUGAGCUCGUUGUCUAUGGAAUGAACAUUGUAAUGGCAGACAUAUGCAGUAACGAGUAUAGGGACUACUGUGAAAAGGUUCCAGACAGCUGCCAAAUCAGGUAUAAUCGGAAGUAAUCUGGGAGUCGAUAUGCUUCCAUUCAGCAGUUUGACAAUUGUGAUGCCAGCAGUAAUCACAACGAAGACAACCGCCAGAGCAACUGACAAGGCAGACGU